rnacentral:rRNA from 1 species
AAAGUAGCAAUACUUUGGUGGCGACCGGCGCACGGGUGAGUAACGCGUAUGCAACCCCCUUAUAAGAGGGGAAUAACCCGGCGAAAGUCGGACUAAUCCCGCAUAAAACAGGGACACCGCAUGGUGAUAUUUGUUAAAGAAAUUCGCUGAUAGAUGGGCAUGCGUUCCAUUAGGUAGUUGGUGAGGUAACGGCUCACCAAGCCGACGAUGGAUAGGGGAACUGAGAGGUUGGUCCCCCACACUGGUACUGAGACACGGACCAGACUCCUACGGGAGGCAGCAGUGAGGAAUAUUGGUCAAUGGGCGAGAGCCUGAACCAGCCAAGUCGCGUGAAGGAAGAAGGAUCUAUGGUUCGUAAACUUCUUUUGCAGGGGAAUAAAGUGCAGGACGUGUCCUGUUUUGUAUGUACCCUGAGAAUAAGGAUCGGCUAACUCCGUGCCAGCAGCCGCGGUAAUACGGAGGAUCCGAGCGUUAUCCGGAUUUAUUGGGUUUAAAGGGUGCGUAGGUGGUUUGAUAAGUCAGCGGUGAAAGUUUGCAGCUUAACUGUAAAAAUGCCGUUGAAACUGUCGGACUUGAGUGUAAAUGAGGUAGGCGGAAUGCGUGGUGUAGCGGUGAAAUGCUUAGAUAUCACGAAGAACUCCGAUUG